AACAUUAAAUUGUGUGUGUGUGUGUGAAAGUGUUUGUCGGUCUGUAUGUGGCCCUGCAACAGACUGGUGGCCUGUCCAGCAGGAUGUACUCUGCCUUAUGCCCU